rnacentral:rRNA from 1 species
ACCGUGCAAAGGUAGCAUAAUCACUUGUUCUUUAAUUGGGGACUGGUAUGAAAGAAAGUUUGAGGUCUAAUCUGUCUCUUUUUUGUUUUAAAAUUUGCUGUCUGUGUGAAGAAGCACAGGUUGUUAAAAAAGACAAGAAGACCCUUUUAAGCUUUAUUUAGAAUUCUUUGGCUUUUUCUUUCAAGAAUUUGGCUAAGGUCUAUAAAUUUGGUUGGGGUGACUGAAGAAGAUAAAAUCUUCUUUUGUUUAUUAGUACUUUAGGUUAAAAAAUGACCCAAGAUUUCUUGGUUGUAAGAAUUAGUUACUAAAGGGAUAACAGCGUAAUCUUUUCAAAGAGUUCUUAUUGAAGAAAAGGAUUGAGAACUCGAUGAU